UACGUAGGGUGCGAGCGUUAAUCGGAAUUACUGGGCGUAAAGCGCGCGCAGGUGGUCUUUCAAGUCAGUGGUGAAAGCCCGGAGCUCAACUCCGGAAAUGCCAUUGAAACUGUGAGACUUGAGGACGAGAGAGGUGAGUGGAAUUCCCAGUGUAGAGGUGAAAUUCGUAGAUAUUGGGAAGAACACCGGUGGCGAAGGCGGGUCUCUGGGCCGAUACUGACGCUGAGGAGCGAAAGCGUGGGGAGCGAACAGG
rnacentral:rRNA from 1 species